CUACCGUGGCAAUGACGGGUAACGGGGAAUUAGGGUUCGAUUCCGGAGAGGGAGCCUGAGAAACGGCUACCACAUCUAAGGAAGGCAGCAGGCGCGCAAAUUACCCAAUCCUAAUACAGGGAGGUAGUGACAAGAAAUAACAAUACAGGACUUUUUGGUUUUGUAAUUGGAAUGAGUUAAGUAUAAACCCCUUUACAAGUAUCAAUUGGAGGGCAAGUCUGGUGCCAGCAGCCGCGGUAAUUCCAGCUCCAAUAGCGUAUAUUAAAGUUGUUGCAGUUAAAAAGCUCGUAGUUGGAUUUCUGUUAAUAAUUUAUAUAAAAUAUUUUGAUGAAUAUUUAUAUAAUAUUAACAUAAUUCAUAUUACUAUAUAUUUUAGUAUAUGAAAUUUUACUUUGAGAAAAUUAGAGUGCUUAAAGCAGGCAUAUGCCUUGAAUACUCCAGCAUGGAAUAAUAUUAAAGAUUUUUAUCUUUCUUAUUGGUUCUAAGAUAAGAAUAAUGAUUAAUAGGGACA
rnacentral:rRNA from 1 species